rnacentral:lncRNA from 1 species
CGCGCUCCUACUUCCGGGGCGGCUGGUUCUUCCCGUCCUCCCCACCCCGGGGACACGCUUCUAGUAGGCCAAACUCCCAGGUGACCCCCGCAAGAAACGCGGUCCGGAGAGGGUCUGGCCCCACUGCUGGGGCAAGGGCUCUAGGCGCCCGGACCCCACGCCCGCAGCCUGCGGAGAACGUGCCGACAAGGACCUGUAGGGCCCCACUCCCCCUCCUCCCUCCCUCGGCGCAGCCCGGCCCAGGGGUCUGUCCUCCCAGGCCCAGGAAAGGAGGAAACCCACUUCCGCCGCGUCCAUGAUCUCCCGCGGCUUCUCCUGACUCUUGCGGCUGGCGCUGGCGCUGGGCAUCGGGACACGGAACUGGGCAGUGGACACCACCCUCCCUCGCAGGCUUCCAGUGUUCUUUCUUGGAACCAUCUGCCAAGCUGUGAGGAAGCUCCAGAGCCAUAUGACAAGACCUGAUGGAGGAUAACUGAGGACUUUGGCCAACAACCCCAGCUGAGCUCCAGUUGGAAUGUGAAUGAGGCCAUUUUGAGUGUUCCAGCCUAUUGGAGCCCUAGCCAACACUCUACAAACUAGAACUGCCUGAUUGACCCGCAGAAUCAUAAGAAAUAAAGUAAUUUGAAGGCCUUCCCUGACUUAAAGUGGAUGCUGCUUUGGAAAGCACUGGAAAAAUGGAUCCUGUCUUUCUUAGCCAAGGACUGGUCUCUUUUCUCCAAUGUGUCCCUAACAGAGUGGUGAGGCUGGCUCUUCCCACCAGUACAGGAAGAUCAUUCCUUAAAAGAAAUAGCCAUAUGGCUUAUAAGGGACUAUAUCUUAAGACUAUGUGUCUUCUGCAGUUCUUUGCAUAGAGUCAACGUUGAAGGACAAGCAACUUCAAAUUUCCAAGCAACAAAAUUAUGUUCGGGUGGUUUUCUGAAAGCGAGAUCUUAAGAACCACCUGUAUCAGAAUCCCAUGAAGAGCUUGUUUAGUGUGCAAAUUUACAGAUUGUCCCCCCUCAGAAAUGCUCAUUUAGGAGUUCCUGUCCUUUGCGGGGACAUGGAUGAAGCUGGAAACCAUCAUUCUCAGCAAACUAACACAGGAACAGAAAACCAAACACUGCAUGUUCUCACUCAAAAGUGGGAGUUGAACAAUGAGAACACAUGGACACAGGGAGGGGAACGUCACACACCAGGGCCUGUCGGGGGUGGGAGGUAAGGGGAGGGAGAGGAUUAGGACAAAUACCUAAUGCAUGUGGGGCUUAAAACCUAGAUGAUGGGUUGAUAGGUGCAGCAAACCACCAUGGACAUGUAUACCUAUGUAACAAACUUGCAUGUUCAGUACAUGUAUCCCAGAACUUAAAGUAAAAUAUAAAACAAUAAUAAAAAGGAAAUGCUCAUUCAGGAGUUUUGGGGUGGGGGUUCAGGAGGCUGCAGCCUUAACAAUUACCUCUGGUGAUUUUGACACAGGUAGCACAGCAGCCAAACUUGGAGAGAUUUGUUCACAGCACUGCAUCACCAACCUUACUUUCUGUUAGGCCUUUAAUCACUUUUUUUUUUUUUUUUUUUUUUUUUUUCUGAGACAGGGUCUUGCUCUAUCACCCAGGCUGGAGUACAGUGGCACGAUCUUGGCUCACUGCAAUCUCUGUAUCCUGGGUUCAAGCAAUCCUCUCUGCCUUGGCCUCCUGAGUAGCUGGGACCACAGACAUGCUCCAUUAUGCCCAACUAAUUAAAAACAUUUUUUUUAGAGGCAGGCUGGUCUCGAACUCCUGAGCUCAAGCAAUCUGCCUGCCUCGGCCUCCCAAAGUGCUGGGAUUACAGGUGUGAGCCACUGCGCCCGGCCUUUUAAUCACUUUUAAACCAGCAACCCUAAUCUGCCUGUCCCUUGAAUGGAUCCGGAUAAAGGUGUGGCAAACAAGCCUCCUGUCACAGUGGGGUGUGACAGUCACGGCAUCACCCCUUCACCACAUCAUGUGCUGCCAGUCAUCACUUCUGCUGUUGCCACCAACCCUUGCGUUUCCCUUUGUCACUUCCCCCUUGCCACCACCAACGGCCACUGUCCCUCUGCUCCUCACCCUCCAUAGCUGAGUCAGAUCCAGCAUUGGGCACUUGAGGAAGAAGCCACUGUGGAAGGCGGGAUGAGGGUGUUCCCAUUCUACAUUCACAAGCCCACAGCUUGGAGAAGAAGCACACCUAAUUCUGACCCUGGCUUCUGAAGAAGCUCUGCAAACCUGGCUAGAAAGUUGGGCCUGUGGUUUGAGGUUCCUGCUGCCUUUGAUUUUACAAUGAGUGGAAAUUGAGGUUGAGUAACAGGUCUCUUGCCCAAGUAUUAAGGGCCACCACGAAGCAUACAGCAAUGAAGGCAGGAGCUGAUGACAUGUGGUUGGUUCCCCCCUCUAGGCCAAGUAUCUUUGUAUAGGGAAGGCCGACAUGGCCAUCUUCACGGUUUGGUAUUAGUGGAGUGUCUUAUACAUACUGAAAUUUGUUUUUGUUUUCAGGUGCUAAAAGGAUAAUACCAAGGAAAACUAUGGGUGGGGGCAGUGAAUGGCCAGCAUGCCUAUAAUCCCAGCACUUGAAGCCAGGAGUUCGAGACCAGCCUGGGAAACAAAGCAAGACCCUGUGUCUAAAAAAAUUUUUUUAAAAAUAAGCUGGGCAUGGUGGCACGUGCCUAUAGUCCCAGCUACUCAGCUACUCGGGAGACCAAGACAUGGAAUAAACUUGACAAGUGCUAAAGAUGCUCUUUGAUUUUUGUGUGGCAUGAGACCUCAGGCUGAAACUUCUCAUCUGAGCCAUUGAAGGGAGCCUCUCAUCUCUCCACCGAGAGGGGAGACCAGAAUGCUCUGUUUCUGGCAGGAAUCUGACACCACUUACUCCUUGGGUAGAAACUCCCCCAAGUCUGAACUAUGUGAUUGCCUGAGCCCUGCUUCUUGUUCAUUAAGACUGCUCCUCUGAAACGGAAUUGAUGAAUUUUUAGUGGCUAUUAGAAGCAUUUGGGAUCCAUAGGCAUCAGGGUUUGAUGCAUGGCCCUCAUCUCUGUGGGCUCCUGUGCAAUGAUUCUCAUCUGUCUUAGUUAGAAAGUGAAUUAAUCUUGACCUUGGCCUCAGGGGUGUGGUUCUCUGCCCUCUUACACAUCUUCAAUUCGCUUCUUUAUCAGAAGCACUUGUUUUAGGCCCAGGCUCCCCCAAUUUUAAUGACAUUUAGACAUUUGUCUUUAAGUUACAUUGCUUUGAUUUUAAUCAAAAUCUAUAUUUCUAGUAUUAUAUGUUUCCAGAAAGUUCUCAUUCUGGAUUGUAAUUUAAUUACAUGGAUCAUUAAAGCUUUGAAGGAUGCUAAUGGGCAGAAAAAAGAGACUUAACAAAACGAAAGUUAUUAUUAGGAAUUACAAAUCACUUAACAUUUCAACAUCACUCGUCGGAUGUGGGCAUUUUGUUGAAAGAGACCUUGUUUUGAACAGUGACAGUGCAGAAGACCUAUGGAAGAAACAAGCUUCCAACUUGAUUUCUAUUGUUAUGCAUGCAUAGCAAAUUAUUAAUUCUAUUCUAAUAGGGUAAUAGAUUUAGAAAUACUAUUAGCAGAAAACUUGAUGUAUUAGGCAAUACUACAUACCACAUUAGUCUAACCGCUCAACUGUAAUUUUUCAUCCAUACUUUCUUGGGAUGUAAAUAAAAUUGAUAUUAUACAAUGAAAAUAAAAUUGCCCACUAGUCUUGCUUAUUCUCUUGG